rnacentral:rRNA from 1 species
UCGGGAAUCUUGCACAAUGGGCGAAAGCCUGAUGCAGCAACGCCGUGUGGGCGAGGAAGGUCUUCGGAUCGUAAAGCCCUGUUGUUGGGGACGAAGGGCGAAGGGUUAAUAGCCCCUAGCCUGACGGUACCCUUCGAGGAAGCCCCGGCUAACUACGUGCCAGCAGCCGCGGUAAUACGUAGGGGGUUAGCGUUGUUCGGAAUAACUGGGCGUAAAGCGCACGUAGGCGGACCAGCCAGUCAGAGGUGAAAUCCCGGGGCUCAACCUGGGAACUGCCUUUGAUACUGCUGGUCUCGAGUCCGAGAGAGGUGAGUGGAAUUCCGAGUGUAGAGGUGAAAUUCGUAGAUAUUCGGAGGAACACCAGUGGCGAAGGCGGCUCACUGGCUCGGUACUGACGCUGAGGUGCGAAAGCGUGGGGAGCAAACAGGAUUAGAUACCCCCGUAGUCC